rnacentral:tRNA from 1 species
GGGGUUGUGGCUCAGAGGUAGAGCACUUGCCUAGAAUGUGUGAGGCACUGGGUUCAAUCCUCAGCACCA